rnacentral:rRNA from 1 species
UACGUAGGGUGCAGGCGUUAAUCGGAAUUACUGGGCGUAAAGCGUGCGCAGGCGGUCUGUUAAGAGAGAUGUGAAAAUCCCCGGGCUUAACCUGGGAACUGCGUUUCUAACUGGCAGGCUUGAGUGUGGCAGAGGGGGGGUGGAAUUCCGACGUGUAGCAGUGAAAUGCGUAGAGAUGUGGAGGAACACCGAUGGCGAAGGCAGCCCCCCUGGGCUAACACUGACGCUCGAUGCACGAAAGCGUGGGGAGCAAACAGG